GAUGAACGCUGGCGGCGUGCCUAAUACAUGCAAGUCGAGCGAACAGACGAGGAGCUUGCUCCUCUGACGUUAGCGGCGGACGGGUGAGUAACACGUGGAUAACCUACCUAUAAGACUGGGAUAACUUCGGGAAACCGGAGCUAAUACCGGAUAAUAUAUUGAACCGCAUGGUUCAAUAGUGAAAGACGGUUUUGCUGUCACUUAUAGAUGGAUCCGCGCCGCAUUAGCUAGUUGGUAAGGUAACGGCUUACCAAGGCAACGAUGCGUAGCCGACCUGAGAGGGUGAUCGGCCACACGGGACCUGAGACACGGUCCAGACUCCAAGGGGAGGCAGAGGUAGGAAAUCUUCCGCAAUGGGCGAAAGCCUGACGGAGCAACGCCGGGUGAGUGAUGAAGGUCUCCGGAUCGUAAACCUCUGUUAUUAGGGAAGAACAAAUGUGUAAGUAACUAUGCACGUCUGGACGGUACCUAAUCAGAAAGCCACGGCUAACUACGG
rnacentral:rRNA from 1 species